CCUACGGGUGGCUGCAGUGGGGAAUAUUGCACAAUGGGGGAAACCCUGAUGCAGCGACGCCGCGUGAGUGAAGAAGUAUCUCGGUACGUAAAGCUCUAUCAGCAGGGAAGAAACUGACGGUACCUGACUAAGAAGCCCCGGCUAACUACGUGCCAGCAGCCGCGGUAAAACGUAGGGGGCAAGCGUUAUCCGGAUUUACUGGGUGUAAAGGGAGCGUAGACGGCAGCACAAGUCUGGAGUGAAAUCCCGGGGCUUAACCCCGGAACUGCAUUGGAAACUGUGCGGCUGGAGUGCAGGAGGGGUAGGCGGAAUUCCUAGUGUAGCGGUGAAAUGCGUAGAUAUUAGGAGGAACACCGGUGGCGAAGGCGGCUUACUGGACUGUAACUGACGUUGAGGCUCGAAAGCGUGGGGAGCAAACAGGAUUAGAUACCCCUGUAGUC
rnacentral:rRNA from 1 species